rnacentral:lncRNA from 1 species
GGAAAGUCGUCGUGACUUCGUCGUGAAAUUGGGUUUAAGGCAGGUCGUGACUGCUGGACUAUUCCAGCCGAAAUUGGCCACAAACACUGGUUAUUUGAGUCGGGUAUUUUGGAAAGAUGAAAGAGGAGGUGAUGGUGAGCAACUUUCAUGAAGGAACAACAACGAAAUAAGGUCGUUAUGACGACGGAAAGUCACCAUGAAAUUGGGAAUAUGGCUGCCCUGUU